AACCAUAGAAACCUGCGGAGUACCUGCGGAAGGAUCAUUAAAGAAAUGCGGCGGAGGGGCCCCCCAAAAGGGCCACCCGAGCCAACACGUUCUACCCUGUCUUUUCGAUACCUCUACCUCCUCCCCGGCCUCCGGGCCGGGAUGGCUACUUCAAAAAAAACCUUGCAGUUUACAGUCAAUUCAGUACUUUGUAACAAAAUUACAACUUUUAACAAUGGAUCUCAGAUCGGAAGAGCACAC
rnacentral:misc_RNA from 1 species